AGCGAACGCUGGCGGCAGGCUUAACACAUGCAAGUCGAGCGGGCACUUUCGGGUGUCAGCGGCGGACGGGUGAGUAACGCGUGGGAACGUGCCCUCUGGUUCGGAAUAACUCAGGGAAACUUGAGCUAAUACCGGAUACGCCCUUUUGGGGAAAGGCUUGCUGCCGGAGGAUCGGCCCGCGUCUGAUUAGCUAGUUGGUGAGGUAACGGCUCACCAAGGCGACGAUCAGUAGCUGGUCUGAGAGGAUGAUCAGCCACACUGGGACUGAGACACGGCCCAGACUCCUACGGGAGGCAGCAGUGGGGAAUAUUGGACAAUGGGCGCAAGCCUGAUCCAGCCAUGCCGCGUGAGUGAUGAAGGCCUUAGGGUUGUAAAGCUCUUUUAUCCGGGACGAUAAUGACGGUACCGGAGGAAUAAGCCCCGGCGAACUUCGU
rnacentral:rRNA from 1 species